rnacentral:tRNA from 1 species
GGAAGUGGUAAGGGCACUGGUGGCUCUCCCGGACUUCAAAUCCGGUGCACCGGGUUAAUAGCCUGGUGGGUGGGUUCGAUUCCCAUGCACUUCCGCCA